rnacentral:rRNA from 1 species
UACAGAGGGUGCGAGCGUUGUCCGGAAUCACUGGGCGUAAAGGGCGCGUAGGCGGCUUGAUAAGCGCGCGGUGAAAGCCCGGGGCUCAACCCCGGGUCGGCCGUGCGAACUGUCGAGCUGGAGCACUGUAGAGGCAGGUGGAAUUCCGGGUGUAGCGGUGGAAUGCGUAGAGAUCCGGAAGAACACCGGUGGCGAAGGCGGCCUGCUGGGCAGUGGCUGACGCUGAGGCGCGACAGCGUGGGGAGCAAACAGG